GGGGUUCACACACACCCUGAUUAUCUUCCUGUUCCAUCCAGCAAGAAAAGGGUGAGGUAACCAAGGAUAUCUGCUCAGACAAAACGUGGAGAAAGAAAGGUUACAUCAACCUGGAUCUAACCCUUUACUACACAUGGUCUUGAUUUUCCCAUCCAAUGAAACAGCUGGAACUGUAAGUGCCAACAACCAAUCUACUUACUCCCUACCACAUGGACACUUAGGCUAUAAACAGCUGUGUGAAGGGGGACAUUUGGCUGGAGGAGGAAAAGGUGGCCACAUCCUGAGACCACAUGCCAACACUCCUGGGACCAAAACUAGAUCAGCUUCCUGACUCUGUGCUCAUGCCUUCGCCACACACUUUCACCAUGAGGAAAGCAAGCUUGAUCCGCAGCUGACACAUUUAGCACACAUGGAAUCACCACAGGCCCUGUCCACCUGAGCACACACUGAAUGUUUUUUUACAGCCUCCUUGGUAUAAAGGGAGAAAACAACAUCCGAUUCCGAAGCCCUCUGUGGAUAUCAGGUUUGCAUCUCAAACCCAAAGGGCCGCCUGUCAAGACUGGGCAACUGAGCCAGUAAUAAUUCCUUUCUGCUAUCCAUCACGCUUGCCGCUUAGCUCAAGGAAGCAAAGCCACAUCCAGGUCAAGGAUCCGGGUCUGUGAUUUGAAGGAUACCACUUCAACCGCUGCCUCAGCAAUCCCAAACAGGACUGCAAGAGUAAAGCCGAUAGACUGGCUCCCUUGCAUCAGAAGAAGUGGGAGGGGCGGUGGCUGGAGAUGUGGUGCAGUUUAUAGAGUACUUGCCUGUCAUACACAACACACACCCUGAGUUCAGUCCCAGGCACAUAAAACCUGACGUGCCCGUGUGUCACUGUGAUGCCAGCACUCAGAAGUCGGAGGCAGGAGGAUCAGAAGCUCAUACAGUGAGUCAGAGGGCAGCUGG